UUGCGAACGUACUCCCCAGGUGGGAUACUUAUCACUUUCGCUUGGCCACGGAGACCGAAGUCCCCACAGCUAGUAUCCAUCGUUUACGGCGUGGACUACCGGGGUAUCUAAUCCCGUUCGCUACCCACGCUUUCGUCCAUCAGCGUCAGUACAUGGUUGGUCACCUGCCUUCGCGAUCGGUGUUCUAUGUGAUAUCUAUGCAUUUCACCGCUACACCACAUGUUCCGGCAACCCCACCAUGACUCAAGACCUGCAGUAUCAAAGGCAAUUUUAUGGUUGAGCCACAAACUUUCACCCCUGACUUACAGGCCCGCCUACGGACCCUUUAAACCCAAUGAUUCCGGAUAACGCUCGGACCCUCCGUAUUACCGCGGCUGCUGGCACGGAGUUAGCCGGUCCUUAUUCUUACGGUACCGUCAGACACCUACACGUAGGUGCGUUUCUUCCCGUAUAAAAGCAGUUUACAACCCAUAGGGCAGUCUUCCUGCACGCGGCAUGGCUGGAUCAGGCUCCCGCCCAUUGUCCAAUAUUCCUCA
rnacentral:rRNA from 1 species